rnacentral:misc_RNA from 1 species
UCCGCUGGCCAAGCGCAAAAGCUCCGGAGCGUGUUGUCAUAAUUGUGUCUGCAAAAGCUCGCUUGAUUUCCAUUCCACGAUUGAUUCGAUUUGCUUUGCUUUUGCUAUUCGCGAUGUACCGUGGCUAAUGAGUCGCAUUGCUAAAUGCAAUUGCAAUUGACCCACUGAACGAACCCGCUGCCCUGCUGCACUGCAUCCACACCAGCAACUCCACGGUGAAAUCCAGGCAAGCCCAGCGAAUCGCCACCCCAAAAUCAGCAGCCCGCAGCUACCAUGUCAACGGAGAGCAACACGCCCGUGGAUCCGAGGGUCCAGGUGGAGCUGGAGAAGCUGAACUCCGCCACGGACAACAUCAACCGCUACGAAGUGGACCUCGAUGAGGCCAAGUGCGAGUUCAAGCGUUUGCUGGCCGAAAGUGUGGUGCGGAUUAAGGCAGCUGCCCACAAGCUGGGCAACUCCAUUGAUGCCGCCAAGCCGUACUACGAGUCACGCAUCUACGCCGCCCAGCUGGCCAAGGAAACGCAAUUGGCGGCGGCCAGCCACGAGAAGGCCAAGUCCAUUCAUGCCGCCGCCAAGGAGAUGGUCUAUCUGGCCGAGCAGGGUCUGGGCGAGAAGUCGACGCUGGACACCGCCUGCCAGGAGAUGCUCAGCCAUGCCGCCAGCAAGGUUAAUCAGUCCCAGCUGGAGGUCACCGACACCCGCAACGCCCUCAAGAUGUGCCAGCUGAAGCUGGAGGUGGCCAACAAUCGGGUCGGCAAGCUGCAGGGUCAGCUGAAGCAAGCGCUCCGUGCAUCCAGAUUGCAGCUCAAGCGCAAUUUACUUUUGUUGAGAUAUUUUAGCAUUAUGCACGCUUUGUAUUGUACCCUCUGUUCGCCGUACUACGAGACCCGGGCGAACUACAAUGGACUGCUGAAGGCGCAGAAAACGCGCGUCAACGAGCUGGAGGCGAAGGUCAGUGCGGCAAAGCUAACGUACAACGAGGCGUUAAAGAAUCUGGAGCAGAUUUCGGAGGACAUACACCGGCAGCGCCAGCAGCGCAAUAACCUGCUCAACUACGAGGCCAUGCUGCGUCAGGUGGACGCCGUGGACACGCUGACGGCGGGUCUGGAAAGGAGUUCCUGCGGAACAGCUGCCGAUCUCGAGACGGAGGCGGCCGCCGAGGAGCAGGAGCACGCGGAUGAGGAGUACCUGCGCAUGCCCGAGCGUCUGGGUCACCACGAGUGCCCCCACCUGCUGACCGAUUUCGAGGCGGUGCUCACCUUUCCGCAGAAACUGGCCGGCGGCAUGCACAAGUCGGCGAGCACUGGAGCGGCGGCGGAUGGGGAAGCCGGAUUGGGACCGCUGGGUCUGCACGCUCCCUACGAGGUGAAGUCGGGCAGCGGAUCUUUGGCGUCGGGAUCCGCUUCCGUCUCAACUUCGGCUGGCGGCGCACCGGCGGACAAUGACAUUGAGCAGUGGACGGAGAUCCGGCUGUCGCAUUCGGAUAGCACCAGUUCCAGCUACUCGAAUCAGUCGCUGCUCGAGCAGCAGGGCCUGGACUCUACGGGCGGCAUGUCCGGCGGCCUGGGCCUCGGCCUGGCCAGGAAUCAUCUCGAUGCGGAUGCCCAGUCCCAGCACUCGACGUCGUCAUCCGAUGAACCGAAGCGCAAGGUCACCUGCACGACAAUAUUCCAGGACGAUAGCAGUGCAUCCAGCGGUGGUGGCCAGCAAAUGAGCCGCAAGCAGAGCCUCAGCCAGUGGCUGUCCCGUUCGAAUAGCUUCAAGGGCAGUGGACGACGCCAGAGCCUGGAUCUGCUGAUCGAUGCCGGUGACAAGGUGAAGGAUGUGUUUAGCUACGGCUUUCAGAAGGUCGGACGCAGCCUGGAGCGUCGCAACAGCGAAUCCGAGAUGUCCGGCGAUUGUGCAGCCGAGGGAGAUGCACUGCUCGGCGGCACAACGGACUCACUGGCGCUGACCGGUGGCGGUGCAACUGGGAGUGCAGCUGGUGCAACAGGAGUUGGAGUUGGAUCCAGUUCUGGAUCUGGAUCUGGCGGCGGUGCCGGUGAUUUUUUCCUCUUCAGCAGGUCAGUAGACGGUGGUGGUAAUGGGGCAAAUGGUGGCGGUCGCAGUCUGCUCAACUCGCUGCACAGUCGCCUCACCAAGCUCAUUUGAACUCGGAGUGAUUUGAAGUCAGAAAUCUGAUUUCGAUUUCGAUUCCAAAACCGAAUUUCAAUUUGAAUUUAAAUUUGAAUUUCGAAACCAAAAAAAAAAAUAUCUCUAUAUACCACCAUAUGUAUUACCCGUACCGAAACAGCGAUGAUCAGCGCAAUUUUUGCACCCAUCUAAUCCAACCAACCAACCAAACCAACUACAAAAAAUGAACAACUGCAAAAUUUACUAAUAGUACUCAAAAUUACUAAUAUGAACAAAAUUGGCUGCUUUGAUUUGGUCUCUGCUUUUGCUACUUUCGAUCUCUCACAAAAUAUAUCUUUCAAAAACCUAACUGCAACAACUACAACUACAACAUCAACAAUAAUAAUAAUACCAACAACAAUAACAACAACAGCAACAACAAGAACUACAACAAUAAUUAUAACAACAACAGCACGAACGCACACUCGCUUUAACCUCAAAUUCUAUCUUCAGAGCCAAAAGAGUUACUGUCCGAUGAGCAGGUUGAGAAUUUACUAUUAAAUCACUUGGUGGAUGAGAAUGG